rnacentral:lncRNA from 1 species
UCCAGGGCUUCCCUGGAACCCCCAAUUUGUGCUCCAGGGGUUCCCUGGAACCCCCAAUUUGUGCUCCGGGGGUUCCCUGGAACCCCCAAUUUGUGCUCCAGGGGGUCCCUGGAGCCCCGAUUUUCCAUCCCCCUCCUUGCCGGGAGGGGCCCAGGCUACCGGCUGCGCUGGAAAUUCAGAUUUUCCCUUCCCAUGUUGGGGCUGAUGGGCCGGUGCCGGUCCCCAAAUGCGGGGGGGGGGGGUCCCCAAAACCCAGGGGGACUGAGCUGCCAACGCAGGGGGCACCCCCAGGAGGAGCUGAUGGGGACCCCCAGACCCCUUCUCGCCCUGCCAGUGCCCCCCACACCGGUGGGGCUCCGGUGACACCCCCGUGGUGGCGGGGCCAGCGGUUCCCUGGCACGAGGGGACCCGGAGCCUGUGGAAUUGCAGCGUGUGGGACGCUCUGGGAUGGAGCUGCGGUGCCCCCCGGAAUUCCUGGGAUUCAAUCCUGCCGGGGCGGGCGGGCUGCUGCCGGCAUUGCUGGCAUUCAAUCCCACUGAAGGGCCGGAUUGGCCCGGGAUUGUCCCGGGAUUGGCCCGGGGCUCCCCGGCUCCCCUCGGCCUCUCCAGCCCCCGAGGGAUGCGCGGCUGCAGGAGGGGCAGGAAUUUGGGGGCACAGGCACCCCCGGCCGGUGAAUUCCAAGCACGGAGGAGCCCUGACUGGGGUGGGAAGGGACUCCUUAACCACCGGCCCAGCCAGUAGCGCCGAUCCCAAGCCCUGCGAGGAACCAGUUGGGAACCGGUCCUGCAGCGAGGAUGCAGAGCCCGGCUAUAAAGGGAGCGCCGGGACGGGCCCCCGGCACUCGGCUCCGGCUCUCGGCCAUGUGGGGUGGCUCCCGCGCCGUCUGGAAGAGGAGGUGCAGCUGCUGUGAAUGGUCCCUGGGAGUCGGCCGAGAGCUGCAUCGUGCGCACCUCCGCCAGCGUCUACCGGCGGCUGCAGGAGAGCCCGCGGGGAAUGAGCACCGGGGGACCCCCCCCGGCACCACCGCAGCCCCCCGGCAGCCCCCCGGCCGGCGGGAGGCUCCUCAAAUCCGAGUCCGAGGAUUCCGGCGUGGAGAUGGCCAGCAACGAGCACUCACCGUGUACCCCGCUGGGCUCCGAGAGCAGCUUCUGCCUGGAGGGUUUCCUGGGGGAGAAGCCCCCCGAGGAGGAGCCCCCCGGGAAGGAGGAGCCCCCCGGGAAGAAGGAGCCCCCCAGACCCGCCCGGAGCCGCUCGGCCGGCCGGAGGAUGCUGCAGGCAGGGCAGAGGAGCAGGAGGCAGCGCUGCCAGCGCAGCGCCAGCGCCGCCGAGCCCGCAGAGCCCCCCGGGGACCCCGAGGGGCUUCGGCCGCCUCGGGACCCCCAGACCGCGGUGCCAGGGCAGGGGCUGCGCUACCUGGAGCAGGUGUGCCAGCUGCUGGAGCGCCUGGCGAGGCUGCAGCAGGACAACCGCGCCCUGCGGCAGCGGGCGGCCGGAGCCCGCGGUGCCCGCAGCCUGCCCCCGAGGCAGGAUUCGGGCCCCUGGAGGGGUUCGGGGUUCCGGCCGCGCUCCUGCUCCGACAGCCAAGCGCCAGGUGAACUCGGGAGCGAUGGCACCGGGAGAUGCGGGCACGGCGGGACCUGGUGCCAGCUGAGGGGGCACGAUGCCCCCCAGCCCUUAAAUUUAACCAGCUCCGUUCCCCCCUUGCAGCAGCCGAGCCCGGGCCGUGCCGCAGGCUGGGGGGACACUCGCUCAGCUCCCCCAACCUGCUGGACCCCUCCGAGGGCGGGCCGGGGGUCCCGGUACCGGACACGGUAA